UACAGAGGUCUCGAGCGUUGUUCGGAUUCAUUGGGCGUAAAGGGCGCGUAGGCGGCGGGGUAAGUCGGGUGUGAAAUCUCAGAGCUCAACUCUGAAAUGGCACUUGAUACUGCUCUGCUAGAGGACUGGAGAGGAGAUUGGAAUUCACGGUGUAGCAGUGAAAUGCGUAGAGAUCCGGAGGAACACCAGUGGCGAAGGCGACACGCUGGGCCGUACCUGACACUGAUACGCGACAGCAUGGGGGAGCGAACGGG
rnacentral:rRNA from 1 species